rnacentral:rRNA from 1 species
GAAUUUUGGACAAUGGGCGAAAGCCUGAUCCAGCAAUGCCGCGUGCAGGAUGAAGGCCUUCGGGUUGUAAACUGCUUUUGUACGGAACGAAAAGCUUUUGGUUAAUACCCUGGAGUCAUGACGGUACCGGAAGAAUACACACCGGCUCACCACUGUCCAACAGCCGCGGUAAUACGUAGGGUGCAAGCGUUAAUCGGAAUUACUGGGCGUAAAGCGUGCGCAGGCGGUUUUGUAAGACAGAGGUGAAAUCCCCGGGCUCAACCUGGGAACUGCCUUUGUGACUGCAAGGCUAGAGUACGGCAGAGGGGGGUGGAAGUCCGCGUGUAGCAGUGAAAUGCGUAGAUAUGCGGAGGAACACCGAUGGCGAAGGCAACCCCCUGGGCCUGUACUGACGCUCAUGCACGAAAGCGUGGGGAGCAAAC